GGUCGUUUACACCAUCGACCAGGAGGAGGAGGCUCACAAGAACGAGGACCUUGUUCCUCUUGUUGAGAAUUAUAGAUCUAAGGUCGAUUCCGAGCUGUCCAAGGUGGGUGAUAAUAUCUUGAAGCUGUUGGACUCCAAUCUGAUUCCCUCCACUUCUGCUAGUGGGCUGAGGAUAUUGUUUCAUUUUGCAAGGCUGCGCAGGCUUGGAGGCACUAAUUUUGGGAGCAUUGUGAGAAUCAUGAAGGAGCUUGUAAGUGUGGACUCAUCAAAGACAACAAAAUAAACUCAGAGACGAGUUGUUAGACUUGGAGUACUUUUACCCACAUUUUUUCCCAAAUAUUGUGUCCAAUGUAGGAAGAAGAUUGAUAAAAAAGUGUCAAGCAUUAAUCAAAGUUGAGGUCUAAUGAAGAACA